GACGAACGCUGGCGGCGUGCUUAACACAUGCAAGUCGAACGAGUGGCGAACGGGUGAGUACCACGUGGGUGAUCUGCCUUGCACUUCGGGAUAAUCUUGGGAAACUGGGUCUAAUACCGGAUCGUGCAAGAUGAGCUCUCGGCCUAUCAGCUUGUUGUUGGGGUAAUGGCUACCAAGGCGCGACAGGUAGCCGGCCUGAGAGGGUGUACGGCAACAUUGGGAAUGAGAGACGGCCCAGACUCCGACGGGAGGCAGCAGUGGGGAAUAUGGGACAAUGGGCGAAAGCCUGAGCCAGCAAGGCCGCGUGUGUGAAGAAGGUCUUCGGAUUGUAAAGCACUGUAAGUUGGGAGGCGUUACCGACAGAAUAAGCACCGGCUAACUCUGUGCCAGCAGCCGCGGUAAUUC
rnacentral:rRNA from 1 species